rnacentral:rRNA from 1 species
GAUGAACGCUGGCGGCGUGCCUAAUACAUGCAAGUCGAGCGAACAGACGAGGAGCUUGCUCCUCUGACGUUAGCGGCGGACGGGUGAGUAACACGUGGAUAACCUACCUAUAAGACUGGGAUAACUUCGGGAAACCGGAGCUAAUACCGGAUAAUAUAUUGAACCGCAUGGUUCAAUAGUGAAAGACGGUUUUGCUGUCACUUAUAGAUGGAUCCGCGCCGCAUUAGCUAGUUGGUAAGGUAACGGCUUACCAAGGCAACGAUGCGUAGCCGACCUGAGAGGGUGAUCGGCCACAGUGGAACUGCACCAGGGUCGAUCCGCCGGCGGGAGGCAGCAGGGGGAAAUCUGCCAGAAGGGGCGAAAGCCGGACGGAGCACCCCCGGGUGAGUGAUGAAGGUCUUCGGAUCGAAAACCUCUUUUAUGGGGGAAAAAAAAAUGUGAAAGAAACUCGCCCUGUCUGGAGGUUACCUAAUCAGAAAGCCCCGCCAAACUCCGUC